rnacentral:rRNA from 1 species
UACAGAGGGUGCGAGCGUUAAUCGGAAUUACUGGGCGUAAAGCGCGCGUAGGCGGCUUUGCAAGUCGGGUGUGAAAUCCCCAGGCUUAACCUGGGAACUGCAUUCGAGACUGCAUUGCUAGAGUACGAAAGAGGGUCGCGGAAUUCCCGGUGUAGAGGUGAAAUUCGUAGAUAUCGGGAGGAACACCGGUGGCGAAGGCGGCGACCUGGGUCGAGACUGACGCUGAGGCGCGAAAGCGUGGGGAGCAAACAGG